AUUGAACGCUAGCGGGAUGCCUUACACAUGCAAGUCGAACGGAGUGGCGAACGGGUGAGUGAUGUAUCGGAACGUGCCCAGUAGCGGGGGAUGACUACGCGAAAGCGUAGCUAAUACCGAAUCCUAUUGGAGCGGCCGAUAUCGGAUUAGCUAGUGGGUGGGGUAACGGCUCACCAAGGCGACGAUCCGUAGCUGGUUUGAGAGGAUGACCAGCCACACUGGGACGGAGACACGGUCCAGACUCCGACGGGAGGCAGCAGUGGGGAAUUUUGGACAAUGGGGGAAACCCUGAUCCAGCCAUCCCGCGUGUGCGAUGAAGGCCUUCGGGUUGUAAAGCACUUUCGGCAGGGAGGCGUUACCUGCAGAAGAAGCACCGGCUAACUACGUGCCAGCAGCCGCGGUAAUAC
rnacentral:rRNA from 1 species